rnacentral:rRNA from 1 species
UACGAAGGGGGCUAGCGUUGCUCGGAAUUACUGGGCGUAAAGCGUGCGCAGGCGGUUCGCUAAGACCGAUGUGAAAUCCCCGGGCUUAACCUGGGAACUGCAUUGGUGACUGGCGGGCUAGAGUAUGGCAGAGGGGGGUAGAAUUCCACGUGUAGCAGUGAAAUGCGUAGAGAUGUGGAGGAAUACCGAUGGCGAAGGCAGCCCCCUGGGCCAAUACUGACGCUCAUGCACGAAAGCGUGGGGAGCAAACAGG